rnacentral:rRNA from 1 species
UACAGAGGGGGCAAGCGUUGUUCGGAAUUACAGGGCGUAAAGGGCGCGUAGGUGGCCUUCUAAGUCGAACGUGAAAUCCCUGGGCUCAACCCAGGAACUGCGUCCGAUACUGGAAGGCUUGAAUCCGGGAGAGGGAUGCGGAAUUCCAGGUGUAGCGGUGAAAUACGUAGAUAUCUGGAGGAACACCGGUGGUGAAGGCGGCAUCCUGGGACCGGCAUUGACGCUGAGGCGCGAAAGCUAGGGGAGCAAACGGG